AUGGGUUCCAGGCUCCUCUGCUGGGUGAUCCUUUGUCUCGUGGGAGCAGGUCCUGUGGAUCCUGCAGUCACUCAAAUCCCUAAACAUAUCAUCAAAGCAAGAAGUCAGACAGUGACCCUGAGAUGCUACUAUGAAUCUGGACACCAGUCAGUGAGCAGGUACCAACAAACACUGGGCCAGGGCCCCCAGUUUCUAGUAGAGUAUUAUUAUGAAUAAGAGAGAGAGAAAAGCAGCAUCUCUGAUCGCUUCUCAGUUCAGCAGUUUAGAUUAGACUUUCGCUCUAAGCUGAACAUUAGCUUCACAGAAGUGAAUGACUCUGCCCUGUACCUCUGUGCCAGCAGCCUCACAGCCCUGCCUGCUCAGGAGCCUCCUGCACAAAAACAGUACUACCCAUCUCAGGAAGUUACAGUGAAAGGAGAUUGCUAA